ensembl:misc_RNA
GAGACCAAGUGGGGAUUUAUGUGGUUACUGUUCUCUUGGUAGGACACGGAGGGAACGACAGUAUUCCUCCUUAAGGCACUGGUAUAAAUUCUUACUUGGGAGUUACAAAAAUGACAAGGAAUUCUUCACUUUGGGAAGAGCGGCUGCUAAGUAGGAG